CCAGCGCGCAGACAGAAUGGAGAGGUUUGAGUUUGGGCUUUGUACAGACAGGUACAUACUGAUUGGCUAGCUCAGCCAUUGACUGGAGCUGGACAGUUGACCAUCAACACAACUAUCAGUUGACCAUCCAUGUUGACCAUUUAGCAGGUGAGAAAGUAAGUAGCAACUGGUGGAUUCGGCAGACCGACAGAAAACACCAAGUAGGAAGAAGAAGGAAGUCCGUCUGGUUGUCGUACAACAUCGUGUCCUAAGGAAAAAGUAUGAUGGUCAUGUCUAGUUGUGAAAAUUUGGGCGUGUCUUGCCAUGUCUAUAUGGGGGUCUGGUUUCAUUCCAGGAGGUAAACUGGCUGCUCUGGAUGUGUGAGUAUGUAAUGCCUCACAAUGGAUUGUCUAACCCUAACCUUAACCUUAACCCUAACCCUAACCUUAACCCUAACCCUAAUCCAAAUGUAUUCAUGUCUGUUUU